AAUUUUGCUCCCGCGGCUUCUCGAGCCUUCUUGACGCGAAGUCGGGCUCUCUCUCUCUCUCUCUCUCUCUCUCAUCUGUCCGUUCCUUCUUCUAACUCUCUGCAAUUGGGGCGACAAUUUCAGCUGUGUUUCUCUCUCUAGUUCUGCCUUCGAUCAGCGAACGCGGUAACCAAAGGGAGCGAGAUCGAGAAAGGGCUCAAGCAAGAGCCGGCCACAAGGCCAGGCAGCCCAAGGAGGACGGAUUAACGCCCGAACAAAGAAGAGAGAGGGAUGCGAAGGCUCUUCAAGAGAAGUUAGCAAAAAAAG